rnacentral:rRNA from 1 species
GAUGAACGCUGGCGGCGUGCCUAAUACAUGCAAGUCGAGCGAACGGACGAGAAGCUUGCUUCUCUGAUGUUAGCGGCGGACGGGUGAGUAACACGUGGAUAACCUACCUAUAAGACUGGGAUAACUUCGGGAAACCGGAGCUAAUACCGGAUAAUAUUUUGAACCGCAUGGUUCAAAAGUGAAAGACGGUCUUGCUGCCACUUAUAGAUGGAUCCGCGCUGCAUUAGCUAUUUGGUAAUGUAACGGCUUACCAAGGCAACGAUGCAUAGCCGACCUGAGAGGGUGAUCGGCCACACUUGAACUGAGACACGGUCCAGACUCCUACGGGAGGCAGCAGUAGGGAAUCUUCAGCAAUGGGCGAAAGCCUGACGGAGCAACGCCGCGUGAGUGAGGAAGGUCUUCGGAUCGUAAAACUCUGUUAUUAGGGAAGAACAUAUGUGUAAGUAACUGUGCACAUCUUGACGGUACCUAAUCAGAAAGCCACGGCUAAAUACGUG